rnacentral:rRNA from 1 species
UGGGGAAUAUUGCACAAUGGGGGAAACCCUGAUGCAGCGACGCCGCGUGAACGAAGAAGGUAUUCGUAUCGUAAAGUUCUGUCCUAUGGGAAGAUAAUGACAGUACCAUAGAAGAAAGCUCCGGCUAAAUACGUGCCAGCAGCCGCGGUAAUACGUAUGGAGCGAGCGUUGUCCGGAAUUAUUGGGCGUAAAGGGUACGCAGGCGGUUUAAUAAGUCGAAUGUUAAAGAUCGGGGCUCAACCCCGUAAAGCAUUGGAAACUGAUCAACUUGAGUAGUGGAGAGGAAAGUGGAAUUCCUAGUGUAGUGGUGAAAUACGUAGAUAUUAGGAGGAAUACCAGUAGCGAAGGCGACUUUCUGGACACAAACUGACGCUGAGGUACGAAAGCGUGGGGAGCAAACAGG